rnacentral:rRNA from 1 species
CCUACGGGAGGCAGCAGUGGGGAAUAUUGCACAAUGGGGGAAACCCUGAUGCAGCGACGCCGCGUGAGUGAAGAAGUAUUUCGGUACGUAAAGCUCUAUCAGCAGGGAAGAAAAUGACAGUACCUGACUAAGAAGCCCCGGCUAACUACGUGCCAGCAGCCGCGGUAAUACGGAGGGGGCAAGCGUUAUCAGGAUUUACUGGGUGUAAAGGGAGCGUAGACGGCAGCGCAAGUCUGGAGUGAAAUCCCAUGGCUUAACCAUGGAACUGCUUUGGAAACUGUGCAGCUAGAGUGCAGGAGAGGUAAGCGGAAUUCCUAGUGUAGCGGUGAAAUGCGUAGAUAUUAGGAGGAACACCAGUGGCGAAGGCGGCUUACUGGACUGUAACUGACGUUGAGGCUCGAAAGCGUGGGGAGCAAACAGGAUUAGAUACCCGGGUAGUC